rnacentral:lncRNA from 1 species
GGCAGUGUCAGAAUGCCACGUGGGACAAUUCAGGCUAUUGGGGGCUCUGAGAAUAGUCUGGAGUCAGGAGCCAAGGAAGGCAGGCCACUUCUAGAAAGAGAGAAAGACAACAAAAUAGAUUCUCUUCUCAAGUUUCCAGAAAAAGCACAACCCUGACAACACCUUGACUGUAGCUUAUCCAAAAUGAUUUGGGGCUUUUAAACUCCAGAACUGUUAUGUAAUGUUUGUGCUACUUUAGACCACAAAGCCUUUGGUGGUUUGCUUUAGUGGCAAUCAGAAUCUGAUACGGAAGCUUUUAAAAUUAAAUACAAUUCAUAUUACACUCAUUUAGUUCACCUCAUUUUUAUUUAUUUAUUUGGCAGUGAUGGGGAAGCAGGUUUCAAAAGAAUUAGUGAUAUCUUAACUCUCAGAGGUUUGUUUUUAUUUUUUCUUAAGACUUUGAAGCUUCAAAAUUGCUCACACAGCCCAAAACUUCAGAGGAAUCAGUGGGAGGUCGGCAGAAGAGCAGGGCUUGAGCUGUCUCCAAGUGCACAGUUUCUAAAAUGGUCAGAUCUGAAGUACUCACUUUACCUUCCCUUGCACCUCUCAGGACAGCACCAUUAACCAGUGGAAACAGAUGAGGAAAAGAGGGCAGAGAAUUCAUACAAGAAGCUGACACAAAAGGCAGAACUGUGGGGACAGAAGGCACAAGUGAAAUUCAACAAUAUACACCUUUAUAUAGAAACAUUUAUCUCCCUGAGAAGGGUUUGACUUUCUGCUAGUGGAAAUAAUUCUUUCUACUUUUUAUUUUGUUCUUUAAAAAAGUAGAUGAAUAAAAAAAGCAGC